AACGAACGCUGGCGGCAUGCCUAACACAUGCAAGUCGAACGAGAUCUUAGGGUCUAGUGGCGCACGGGUGCGUAACGCGUGGGAAUCUGCCCUUUGGUUCGGAAUAACAGUUGGAAACGACUGCUAAUACCGGAUGAUGACGAAAGUCCAAAGAUUUAUCGCCAGAGGAUGAGCCCGCGUAGUAUUAGCUAGUUGGUGUGGUAAAGGCGCACCAAGGCGACGAUCCUUAGCUGGUCUGAGAGGAUGAUCAGCCACACUGGGACUGAGACACGGCCCAGCCUCCUACGGGAGGCAGCAAUGGGGAAUAUUGGACAAUGGGCGAAAGCCUGAUCCAGCAAUGCCGCGUGAGUGAUGAAGGCCUUAGGGUUGUAAAGCUCUUUUACCCGGGAUGAUAAUGACAGUACCGGGAGAAUAAGCUCCGGCUAACUCCGUGCCAGCCGCCGCGGUAAAAC
rnacentral:rRNA from 1 species